rnacentral:rRNA from 1 species
UACGUAGGGUGCAAGCGUUAUCCGGAAUUAUUGGGCGUAAAGAGCUCGUAGGCGGUUUGUUGCGUCUAUCGUGAAAACCUGCAGCUUAACUGUGGGCUUGCGGUGGAUACGGGCAGACUUGAGUUCGGUAGGGGAGACUGGAAUUCCUGGUGUAGCGGUGAAAUGCGUAGAUAUCUGGAGGAACACCGGUGGCGAAGGCGGCAUCCUGGACCGAUAUUGACGCUGAGGCGCGAAAGCCAGGGGAGCAAACGGG